rnacentral:rRNA from 1 species
CAAAAGCUUGGGCGGGCGGUGGCAUACGGUGCUACCAUGCAAGUCGAACCAUGAACCCAUUCGGUGGGGAUUAGUGGCGAACGGGUGAGUAACACGUGGGCAAUCUGCCCUGCACUCUGGGACAAGCCCUGGAAACGGGGUCUAAUACCGGAUACUGAUCCUCGCAGGCAUCUGCGAGGUUCGAAAGCUCCGGCGGUGCAGGAUGAGCCCGCCGCCUAUCAUCUUGUUGGUGAGGUAACGGCUCACCAAGGCGACGACGGGUAGCCGGCCUGAGAGGGCGACCGGCCACACUGGGACUGAGACACGGCCCACACUCCUACGGGAGGCAGCAGUGGGGAAUAUUGCACAGUGGGCGAAAGCCUGAUGCAGCGACGCCGCGUGAGGGAUGACGGCCUUCGGGUUGUAAACCUCUGUUCAGCAGGGAAGAAGCGAAAGUGACGGUACCUGCAAAAGAAGCGCCGGCUAACUACGUGCCAGCAGCCGCGGUAAUACGUAGGGCGCAAGCGUUGUCCGGAAUUAUUGGGCGUAAAGAGCUCGUAGGCGGCUUGUCACGUCGGUUGUGAAAGCCCGGGGCUUAACCCCGGGUCUGCAGUCGAUACGGGCAGGCUAGAGUUCGGUAGGGGAGAUCGGAAUUCCUGGUGUAGCGGUGAAAUGCCGCAGAUAUCAGGAGGAACACCGGUGGCGAAGGCGGCAUCUCUGGGCCGAUACUGACGCUGAGGAGCGAAAGCGUGGGGAGCGAACAGGAUUAGAUACCCUGGUAUUCCACGCCGUAAACGGUGGGCACUAGGUGUGGGCAACAUUCCACGUUGUCCGUGCCGCAGCUAACGCAUUAAGUGCCCCGCCUGGGGAGUACGGCCGCAAGGCUAAAACUCAAAGGAAUUGACGGGGGCCCGCACAAGCGGCGGAGCAUGUGGCUUAAUUCGACGCAACGCGAAGAACCUUACCAAGGCUUGACAUACACCGGAAAACCCCGGAGACAGGGUCCCCCUUGUGGUCGGUGUACAGGUGGUGCAUGGCUGUCGUCAGCUCGUGUCGUGAGAUGUUGGGUUAAGUCCCGCAACGAGCGCAACCCUUGUCCCGUGUUGCCAGCAGGCCCCUGUGGUGCUGGGGACUCACGGGAGACCGCCGGGGUCAACUCGGAGGAAGGGGGGGAGGACGUCAAGUCAUCAUGCCCCUUAUGUCUUGGGCUGCACACGUGCUACAAUGGCCGGUACAAUGAGCUGCGAUACCGCGAGGUGGAGCGAAUCUCAAAAAGCCGGUCUCAGUUCGGAUUGGGGUGUGCAACUCGACCCCAUGAAGUAGGAGUCGCUAGUAAUCGCAGAUCAGCAUCGCUGCGGUGAAUACGUUCCCGGGCCUUGUACACACCGCCCGUCACGUCACGAAAGUCGGUAACACCCGAAGCCGGGGUCCAACCCCCCUGCACGAGCACUGGAGUUACUCUAUGGUGGACCGGGCGAAAUC